UACGAAGGGGGCUAGCGUUGCUCGGAAUGACUGGGCGUAAAGGGCGCGUAGGCGGUUUGGACAGUCAGGUGUGAAAUUCCCGGGCUCAACCUGGGGGCUGCACUUGAUACGUAGGAACUUGAGUGGGGAAGAGGGUCGUGGAAUUCCCAGUGUAGAGGUGAAAUUCGUAGAUAUCGGGAGGAACACCAGUGGCGAAGGCGGCGACCUGGGCCAAUAUUGACGCUGAGGUGCGAAAGCGUGGGGAGCAAACAGG
rnacentral:rRNA from 1 species